UACGUAGGGUGCAAGCGUUGUCCGGAAUUAUUGGGCGUAAAGAGCUCGUAGGCGGUUUGUCGCGUCUGCUGUGAAAACCCGAGGCUCAACCUCGGGCCUGCAGUGGGUACGGGCAGACUAGAGUGCGGUAGGGGAGAUUGGAAUUGCCUGGUGUAGCGGUGGAAUGCGCAGAUAUCAGGAGGAACACCGAUGGCGAAGGCGGCUCUCGUGGGCCUUACCUGACGCUGAGGAGCGAAAGCGUGGGUAGCAAACAGG
rnacentral:rRNA from 1 species